AUCAUUAUUGAAUUUAAUGAGGAGUUGGUUGUUGCUGGCCUUGGGAUUUUUUUAAUUAAUUAUUCCGGGUAGUUGUGCACACCUUCUCUUUCAUCCACACACACCUGUGCACUUGUGAGACAGAUGUGGGGACUUUAUUGGACCCUGUCUGUCUACUUAAUCUACAUAAACUCUAUUUAAUUUAAACUGAAUGUAAUUGAUGUAACGCAUCUAAUACU
rnacentral:misc_RNA from 1 species